GGGAGGCGGUCGCGCCGGGGGCGGCGCAACGCGGCUCGGGCCCGACAGUGCCCCACCGGGGCCCUAGUUUCUUUUUCCUCCCCUUUGAACUGGAAAAUGGCCCACUUCCCACUGGCGAAAACUCAUGAAAUUUGGCAGGACGACCGGGCCUGGUGAAAAAUUUGAUAUUCUGAAGUCGCCCAAACAAUACAAUGCAAAAUGGCUCCAUAGCGCCCCCUAAGGUGAAAAAUUCACCUGACGCCUGUACGCUUUGUCAAAAUGACACAAAAAUUGACACACACAUGUAUCUCAAUAAGAUCUACAAAAAAGUCAGUGCGGGCGUAUCUGUCAAAUGUACGGUUAAAGGGUUAUUGCGCAUUUUUUGCCGAUCCGCACACAUUGGAAUUUCGCUAACUCCUCCAAAGGCUUUCGUUCCACCGGCACCACAUUUGCUCAGGCCAAUCUACACCCCAUGGCCAUUAAAAGUUAUUCAAAUCAUGACGCUGCACCCCACGGUUUAGGUUCUAGGGGGCGCCAAAGAUAACCCUAAAAUCCACAUAUUUCAAAGUCUUAUAACUUUUUAUUUUUGCCCUCACUGGCCUCCAAGUUUUCUAGGAUGAUGCAAUGUCCAGCCAUCAACACAUUUGUGAAGGAAUUUUUACUCCCCAAAAGAGCGCCCCCCAUGGCAGGAGAAAAAAGUCCAUUUUUUCUUGUCCCAUAAGGUGAAAAUUCACACUAUUGACUGUCACGCCUGUACGCAUUGUCAAAAUUACACAAAAAUUGACACACACAUGUAUCUCAAUAAGAUCUACAAAAAAGUAAUUGCUGGCGUAUCUGUCAAAUGUACGGUUAAAGGGUUAUUGCGCAUUUUUUGCCGAUCCGCACACAUUGGAAUUUCGCUAACUCCUCCGAAGGCUUUCGUUCCACUGGCACCACAUUUGCUCAGGCCAAUCUACACCCCAUGGCCAUUAAAAGUUAUUCAAAUCAUGACGCUGCACCCCACGGUUUAGGUUCUAGGGGGCGCCAAAGAUAACCCUAAAAUCCACAUAUUUAAAAGUCUUAUAACUUUUUAUUUUUGCACUCACUGGCCUCCAAGUUUUCUAGGAUGAUGCAAUGUCCAGCCAUCAACACAUUUGUGAAGGAAUUUUUACUCCCCAAAAGAGCGCCCCCCCAUGGCAGGAGAAAAAAGUCCAUUUUUUCUUGUCCCCUAAGG